rnacentral:rRNA from 1 species
UCCUUAGAUGUCCUGGGCCGCACGCGCGUUACACUGAUGCAUUCAACGAGCUUAUAACCUUGGCCGAGAGGCCUGGGCAAUCUUGUUAACGUGCAUCGUGAUAGGGAUAGAUUAUUGAAAUUAUUAAUCUUGAACGAGGAAUUCCUAGUAAACGCAGAUCAUCAAUCUGCAUUGAUUACGUCCCUGCCCUUUGUACACACCGCCCGUCGCACCUACCGAUUGGAUGGUCCGGCGAAGCCUCGGGAUUGUGGUUCUUGCCGCUUUAUUGUGGCGUGACCGCGAGAACUUGUCUAAACCUUAUCAUCUAGAGGAAGGUGAAGUCGUAACA